GUUAGCUCAGCCGGUAGAGCAUCUCCCUUUUAAGGAGGUGGCCGUUGGUUCGAAUCCAAC
rnacentral:tRNA from 1 species